rnacentral:tRNA from 1 species
GAUUGUAUACAUUUGGUUUCGGCCCAAAUUACGACAUUUUUUAUUGUCCAAUCU